rnacentral:misc_RNA from 1 species
GUAAAUGUGCCACUUGUCUUCCAAUAGCGGAAGACCACUUUAUGAUGAUUUAAUCAAGGUUUGACAAAUGGCUUGAAGAGAUUUUGUCAAAAUAAAUCAAGAUCAAACCUUAUGUUGACAUGUGGCACCAAUUAAUGUUUUUGUCUUGUGUAAUAAAAGAAGAAAGAAGAAGAAGAAUUCAUCUUCUUCCUCCAUUCAAGUUGGACGACAACUUUCUCCCUCAUAUUCUUCUUGUUUUUCUCUAUUGAUUCCUGAUAGAGAAAGCUUGGUUUCUCUUGAAUCAAUAUUGCUAGAAAGGGUUUCUAGUUACUGUACAUCCAUUUAACCUCACCAAAGACAUAAACCCUAAAAGUUUACUGGUUGGCAAGCAUAUAAAAGAAGAUUUGGAGGCUACCAUUGGUGACUUGGUGUAGCUUAUGGUGGACAAGCUAGAGGAGCUACAAUUGAAGCUCUUGGAACUCCCAAAUGGAAUGGGAAGGUUGAUUCUACGCCCAAGGAGGUUAGCCG